AAUAAGAAACUCUUCUGAGUUCACUUGCCUCUGUAUCCUUGAAUGUGAGUGAUAACCAACCGGUUUGGAGUCUCAACUCUACAAGAAUUUUCUGAUCAAGAAUGACCACAUUGAGACCAAGUUUCCUCCUUUGCUUGGGAAGUUGGGCGAGGUUGCAUUCUCACUAUUGAUAACCUAAUGAGAAGAGGCAAAACUAUGGUGAACGGUUGUUUUCUAUGCAGGAGGUAGAGGAGACUUGUAAUCACAUUUUUGCUAGGAUAUCCAAUCGCGUACAAUUUUUGGUUUAUGGCUUAUGGGUUCCUCGAGAUUAGUUGGGUUACAGCUGGUAUGGUUAAAAACGAGAUCUAAGCCUAGAAUGGUAGUUGUGGGGAGAAAAAACAUGUGUUCCUCAUCCCUCUUGCUAUUUUUUGGGUUAUGUCGAAAGAAAGAAACAAGCGGGGUU
rnacentral:lncRNA from 1 species